UGAGAGGUAGAGUAGACUGUAUGUAGGACAGGGAAACAGAGUGAGGGGUAGAGUAGACUGUAGGUAUGACAAUGAAACAGAGUGAGAGGUAGAGUAGACUGUAUGUAUGACAGGUAAACAGAGUGAGGGGUAGAGUAGACUGUAGGUAUGACAGGGAAACACAGUGAGGGGUAGAGUAGACUGUAGGUAUGACAGGGAAAUAGAGUGAGGGGUAGAGUAGACUGUAUGUAUGACAAGGAAACAGAGUGAGGGGUAGAGUAGACUGUAGGUAUGACAGGGAAACACAGUGAGGGGUAGAGUAGACUGUAGGUAUGACAGGGAAAUAGAGUGAGGGGUAGAGUAGACUGUAUGUAUGACAGGUAAACAGAGUGAGGGGUAGAGUAGACUGUAGGUAUGACAGGGAAACACAGUGAGGGGUAGAGUAGACUGUAGGUAUGACAGGUAAACAGAGUGAGGGGUAGAGUAGACUGUAUGUAUGACAGGUAAACAGAGUGAGGGGUAGAGUAGACUGUAUGUAUGACAAGGAAAUAGAGUGAGGGGUAGAGUAGACUGUAUGUAUGACAAGGAAACAGAGUGAGAGGCAGAGUAGACUGUAUGUAUGACAGGGGAACAGAGUGAGAGGUAGAGUAGACUGUAGGUAUGACAGGGAAACAGAGUGAGGUGUAGAGUAGACUGUAGGUAUGACAGGGAAACAGAGUGAGGGGUAGAGUAGACUGUAGGUAUGACAGGUAAACAGAGUGAGAGGUAGAGUAGACUGUAGGUAUGACAGGGAAACAGAGUGAGGGGUAGAGUAGUAUGAUAGGGAAACAGAGUGAGGGGUAGAGUAGACUGUAUGAAUGACAGGGACACAGAGUGAGAGGUAGAGUAGACUGUAUAUAUGACAGGUAAACAGAGUGAGGGGUAGAGUAGACUGAAGGUAUGACAGGGAAACACAGUGAGGGGUAGGGUAGACUGUAGGUAUGACAGGGAAAUAGAGUGAGGGGUAGAGUAGACUGUAUGUAUGACAAGGAAACAGAGUGAGGGGUAGAGUAGACUGUAGGUAUGACAGGGAAACACAGUGAGGGGUAGAGUAGACUGUAGGUAUGACAGGGAAAUAGAGUGAGGGGUAGAGUAGACUGUAUGUAUGACAGGUAAACAGAGUGAGGGGUAGAGUAGACUGUAGGUAUGACAGGGAAACACAGUGAGGGGUAGAGUAGACUGUAGGUAUGACAGGUAAACAGAGUGAGGGGUAGAGUAGACUGUAUGUAUGACAGGUAAACAGAGUGAGGGGUAGAGUAGACUGUAUGUAUGACAAGGAAAUAGAGUGAGGGGUAGAGUAGACUGUAUGUAUGACAAGGAAACAGAGUGAGAGGCAGAGUAGACUGUAUGUAUGACAGGGGAACAGAGUGAGAGGUAGAGUAGACUGUAGGUAUGACAGGGAAACAGAGUGAGGGGUAGAGUAGACUGUAGGUAUGACAGGGAAACAGAGUGAGGGGUAGAGUAGACUUUAGGUAUGACAGGGAAACAGAGUGAGAGGUAGAGUA